AGUGAACGCUGGCGGCAUGCCUAACACAUGCAAGUCGAACGGCAGCACAGUAAGAGCUCGCUCUUACGGGUGGCGAGUGGCGGAUGAGUGAGGAAUACAUCGCAUUCUUCUUUUUCGUGGGGGAUUACGUAGGGACACUUAUGCUAAUACCUCAUAUUAUCUACGGGUGAGAUCAGGGGUUCUACGGACCUUUCGUGACUCUAUGAGCUGAUGCCGGAUUAGCUAGUUGGCUAGGUAAGGGCCCACCAAGGCAACGAUGCGUAGCAGAUCUGAGAGGAUGAUCGGCCACACUGGAACUGAGACACGGUCCAGACUCCUACGGGAGGCAGCAGUAGGGAAUCUUGGGCAAUGGGCGAAAGCCUGAUGCAGCCAUGCCGCGUGGGUGAAGAAGGCCUUCGGAUUGUAAAGCCCUUUUGUUGGGAAAGAAAAGCAGCGGAUUAAUCCGCGCCUAUUCUGACGGUACCCAAAGAGUAAGCCCCGGCUAACUUCGUG
rnacentral:rRNA from 1 species